UAUAAACGUAUUUUCAUAUUUUCAAAUCGGUAAGCAAUGGAAUCCACAGGUUACGCAAAUGUGUUAUUAUGUCAUAAUUAUAGCCUCAUCUUUUUUUCUUUUUGGAAAUUUUUGGCCUGGUUACAUAGACCUUUAGGUUUGUGAUACGAAUUAACUCAAAAGUCCGCAUAAAUUUUCAAGUUAUGAAGCGGCUUCUUGGCAUGAAGUGAAAAUAGAUAGUACCACUUUGUUUAUUGAAUGUUUGUUUAUUAUUUAUAUUUAUAUAUUUUUCCGAUAUGAUAACACUUAAGUGAAUGUUUUUCGAUUACUUCUUCAUUUCGUAUUAAAUAUAAAUAGAUUAUUCAAUGAAGAAAACAACUUUCCCGCCAAAAAACAAUGGAAAAAUUAAUGAAAAUACUCAAUAUUCACUGCUUUUAAUAAAUUGUACUGAAGUAACAAAAAGCAAUUAGAUUUUAUAUUGCUUAUUUAUUAAUUCCAUCGACAUCUAUGCGACCGAGUGAAGAAAAAAGUACCUCAAUAUUUUUCGAUAUUGGCUGUUUGAAUCUGCGUUGCCAGAAUUUCUUUGUCUCAUGGAAAAAAAAGUAAACUCAGUACCCAAACCGUUGGCGCGAAAAAGUGACAAGCGUUUUUUCACUUGUAUUUCAAGAUUCCAAAGGUAAGUUGAUUUUGUUAUUGAUAAUUUAACAAUUAUUUAUAAAUAUAUUUAGGUAUAUAAUCUUUAAAAUCGUAAAAUAGUUAGCCAUAUAAACAUAAUUAUUAUAAUUGUAAGAUCUUUAACUAUCUGUACUGAUUUUCUCUUUUUCACAUAAUGAAAGUGAAACAUUAAAAGGUAAGUACGUACCUACUUAAAGCUAUAAUUCUUAUUUUAUUGUCUAUUAGAUAAACACAAAUAGUACAGAAGUGGUUUGUUUACAGAUGAAGCGUUCAAGCGUCGAAAUUCCAUUGUGCUCUACAAUGCGUCGCCGUCGCGUCGACGACGAGCCUGCUGCAACCUGCAUCGGUGCCGGUCUAACACACCAAGGCUCCGAUAUGUAUGAAGGAAAUGCACAAUGCUAAAAACUGCGUAGGAGAUUUUAAUACAAUAGUACUACCAAGCCUGAUGUUGGCCGCUAUUUCAAUGAAUGCAGCAGUGUGACAGCUAGCAAUCAAAAGUAACAAGAUAUCGAGGAAAUGCAGAUGGCAAUAAACUGUGUAGGAGUUCAUGAUUGCAAUAGAAUAAAAUCGACCAAGCCUGAAGUCAGCAGCCCCUUCAAUGAAUGCAGCAGUGUGACAGCCAGCAAUCAAAAGUUACAAGAUAUCGAGGUACGUUUCAUGACGACCACGACUAUUUUGGCAAAAACGU